CUACGGGCUGCUGCAGUAAGGAAUAUUGCGCAAUGGAGGCAACUCUGACGCAGCCAUGCCGCGUGCAGGAAGAAGGCCUUAUGGGUCGUAAACUGCUUUUAUUUAGGAAUAAACCCCCGAACGUGUUCGGGGCUGAAGGUACUAAACGAAUAAGCACCGGCUAACCGCGUGCCAGCAGCCGCGGUAAUACGGAGGGUGCAAGCGUUAUCCGGAUUUAUUGGGUUUAAAGGGUGCGCAGGCGGGCUAUUAAGUCAGUGGUGAAAUCCCGGGGCUCAACUCCGGAACUGCCAUUGAUACUGAUAGUCUUGAGUUUGGUUGAAGUGGGCGGAUGUAGCAUGUAGCGGUGAAAUGCAUAGAUAUGCUACAGAACACCAAUCGCGAAGGCAGCUCACUAAGCCAAAACUGACGCUCAUGCACGAAAGCGUGGGGAUCAAACAGGAUUAGAUACCCCUGUAGUC
rnacentral:rRNA from 1 species